rnacentral:rRNA from 1 species
UACAGAGGUCUCAAGCGUUGUUCGGAUUCAUUGGGCGUAAAGGGUGCGUAGGUGGCGCGCUAAGUCAGGUGUGAAAUUUCGGAGCUUAACUCCGAAACUGCAUUUGAUACUGGCGUGCUUGAGGACUGGAGAGGAGACUGGAAUUCAUGGUGUAGCAGUGAAAUGCGUAGAUAUCGUGAGGAAGACCAGUUGCGAAGGCGGAUCUCUGGGCAGUUCCUGACACUGAGGCACGAAGGCCAGGGGAGCAAACGGG